AGAGAAGUGGAUUGCAAAAGGCUUUUCUUUCGACCGAAGAGAGAAAAUCUUCCAUUCCCUCCCAAAAUAUGCUAGAACAGGAUAAAUACAUUGAUUUAUUCCACGUUCCAAUAAACUCCAAAUUUAUGACACAAAUGUUAAUUUGCUAUAGCGCUCCUUCUUGCACCGGAAAUCUCAUUUCCGGCAGCCCCUUCCGACGAGAGUGCAAGCUCUGCUUAAAACUCAGAAAAUUUUCUUUGUUUAAUUUUAAUGUGUGAGUCCUUACAAAUGGUUAGCUCUCAGAAGUCCAUGUUUUCUCGUAUGGCUGUUGGCUCGGUAAUAAUUCAUUCCUUUCCAAAAUUAUGUUUACUUGUACACGUAAUUCGUGAAGAAAGCAUUUUCUUGUGUGAAAUUUUGUAUGUUAAUUGUAAUGUUAUCUUAGGAGCUCUGGGAUUAUUUUUUCUUGUUUUGGUUGCUCUACUGAAUGAUAGAUUAUGUUUCAGAGCUUGUGAGGAAUAAUACUUUGGAAUUAU
rnacentral:lncRNA from 1 species